GGGUGGCAGUAUACAAAACGAUGAAAAACCCAGCAGUGUGUUGAUCUGAGCAGCACAUCAACUCCGGAGGGGUGGCAGUUUCCAAGACGAUGAAAAACUCCGGAGUAGAGUGUUUGGAGGACUUUGUUUUCGGCUUUUUGUCUCAUAUACUUAUUAUAGGAACAAUGGAAGACAGGAGCUUGCAUCAAUGCAGCCUUAAAUGUCCAGAGAAAUGUUCACUUUGAUUCUCACUUCUCAGCUUCAUUUAGGGUUUGAUAGCGUGCAAGUGAUCACCGGCGACGCUGACAGGGGAAGAGAAGAGAAAGCUCAAGUCUUGAAGGAGGGUUUUCAUCUUCAGCACUGCACCAUACACAAGCAUGAGUGGAACUCCGAGGCCCGAGUUUUUCAAGGUUCUUCUUCGUGGUUCUAGACUUCGCAUUCCACCAGCAUUUGUUGGGCAUGUUAUCGAUGACAACCAUGGAAAAGCCAUGAUAUUCUCGGCUGGUGAAUUUUGGCACGUAAAAGUUCAAAAAAACCGAAAGAAGGCUUAUUCUUCACAAAUGGUUGGGAAGAAAUUAUCAAAGCCCAUGGUCUCAGUGAAGGAUGCAUUCUUUUCUUCUGUUAUGAGGGUAACAUGGUUUUUACUCUAAAGAUCUUUGGUCACGAUGCUUGCAGAAUCAACAAUUUCUGUAUUAAUAGCAAGGGCUUCAAAAACAGAAAAGCAAAUGUGGAAUUUAAUGGCAUCUGUGAAUAUUCAAACAGUAGACUUUGCCGGAUUCCAUCGGCCAACAACUGUGAUGAAACCAAUGUUGCUUCUCCAUCUGAGCCGCCACCACAUCCUUUAUUGGGAAUUA